AGUGCCUCCAGAAAGAGUCGAGAAGAUAAUGGAUCAGAUUGAAAAGUACAUCAUGACUCGUCUCUAUAAAUAUGUGUUCUGUCCAGAAACUACUGAUGAUGAGAAGAAAGAUCUUGCCAUUCAAAAGAGAAUCAGAGCCCUGCGCUGGGUUACGCCUCAGAUGCUGUGUGUCCCUGUUAAUGAAGACAUCCCAGAAGUGUCUGAUAUGGUGGUGAAGGCGAUCACAGAUAUCAUUGAAAUGGAUUCCAAGCGUGUGCCUCGAGACAAGCUGGCCUGUAUCACCAAGUGCAGCAAGCACAUCUUCAAUGCCAUCAAGAUCACCAAGAACGAGCCGGCGUCAGCGGAUGACUUCCUCCCGACUCUCAUCUACAUUGUUUUGAAGGGCAACCCCCCACGCCUUCAGUCUAAUAUCCAGUAUAUCACGCGCUUCUGCAAUCCAAGCCGACUGAUGACUGGAGAGGAUGGCUACUAUUUCACCAAUCUGAGAUGAGGUUUCUACCCCGACUGUUUCCCAGGCUGGUCUGAACUCCUGGUCUGAAGCGAUCCUCCCACCUCGGCCUCCCAAAGUGCUAGGAUUACAAGCACGAGCCAACACGCCUGGCUCAGAUGUCUAUUGAAUUGGGCAUUUGCAGUGGCAUUUCUGUACUAAUAAUUGCUACCGUGUAUUCAUUGCUCACUGCAGGCCUCUCGGAAGCACGUGACAUGUGUUAUGGUGUUAUGUUG
rnacentral:sRNA from 1 species